UUUUCUUUUUUUCCCCUAUUUUCUUCAAAUAUACAGGACAUUGAAGGAGAUGACAUCCAGAGAGACCUGCAGAAAUCCACCAUGGGCAUAUAUGUCAUCAACAAGGAGGGUGGAGAAAUUGGAGCUCAUGAUGACAUUGGCAUUUAUGUUGAAGGAGUAAUCAUUCUGGACAACAUUGGAUCUGUAGCCCAAGCAUGUACAAUGAUGCUGGUAGUCAUGUAUGUACUGAACAUGGCUUACCCCAAAGAGCUGAAAUACUUUUAUGAAUUCAUUCAGAAAGUGCUCUUGCAAAUGGAUGGUGAAAGGCUUUCCCCCAAAGUCCUUGGACUAAAGAACAAAAUCAUUGCUGGACUGUAGGAUUUCUUCAGCCGCUCUUGUGAACCCUGCUAAGCUGCAUUAAGGUGUUUCGAACUGAAGUGAAUGGUGGACUGUAAUAUUCACACAGCCACUGGUGUGAACAUUUAAAACUGUACGAUGGAUUUUGUGGAAUAUUCA